ACGGAUAUCUCGGCUCUCGCAUCGAUGAAGAACGUAGCGAAAUGCGAUACCUGGUGUGAAUUGCAGAAUCCCGCGAACCAUCGAGUCUUUGAACGCAAGUUGCGCCCGAGGCCUUCUGGCCGAGGGCACGCCUGCCUGGGCGUCACGCCAAACACGCUCCCACC
rnacentral:rRNA from 1 species